AGGUCCUCAUCACUGUGGAAGAAGGGUCUAUAGGAGGAUUCAGCUCUCAUGUUUCCCACUUCUUGGGAUUGAAUGGAUUACUUGAUGGAAAUCUCAAGUGGAGGGCUAUGAUGCUCCCUGACAGAUAUAUUGAGCAUGGUUCUCAGACAGACCAGAUCGAAGCAGCAGGCCUUACUUCAAAGCAUAUUGCAGCUACUGUUUCUUCAUUGAUAGGGGGAAAGAGGGAUGGCUUUCACCUUCUCAACGUAUAGAUAGAUUCUUCCCAGACCAAAAGUUGUACUCUUGUAUCUUAUAUGUGAGCUGCAGAUAGAAACUACUCCUAAAAUAAAUGUAUUCCUUGUUGGGGAAUGACAAAUAUACAGAUUUUUUUU